rnacentral:rRNA from 1 species
CCUACGGGUGGCAGCAGUGAGGAAUAUUGGUCAAUGGGCGCGAGCCUGAACCAGCCAAGUCGCGUGAGGGAAGACGGUUCCAUGGAUUGUAAACCUCUUUUGUCGGGGAGCAAAAGACGCCACGCGUGGCGCUCCGAGAGUAACCGAAGAAAAAGCAUCGGCGAACUCCGGUCCUGCAGCCGGGGUAAUACGGGGGAUGCAGGGGUUAUCCGGAUUUAUUGGGUUAAAGGGGUGUGAAGGGGGAAGGUCAAGCCAGCGGUAAAACUGAGGGGCUCAACCUCUUCGAGCAGUUGAAACUGGUUGUCUUGAGUGAGUGAGAGGGAUGCGGAAUGCGUGGUGUAGCAGUGAAAUGCAUAGAUAUCGCGCAGAACUCCGAUGGCGAAGGCAGGAUACCGGCGCUCAACUGACGCUCAUGCACGAAGGUGUGGGUAUCGAACAGGAUUAGAUACCCUGGUAGUC